UCUUCGGACUUCUCACUGGGCGAUGCGAAUCUAGGCUUGGGCAUCGGGCCGGGCCGCCACUGGGUAUCCGGCACCCGGCCCGGUCGGGCCCGGACCCGAUGGUGCGGCCCGUCCCCAUGCUCCUCCUCCUCCUCCCAUCCCUUGUCCUCCUCCUCCUCCUCCUCCUCCCGUCCAGCCGUCCCCCAUCCUCCACCUAUCUUCUUCCCUUCCUCCUCUCAGAUGUCAUUUCAUGGGCACAGGACAUGCGUGUCCUGUUUAAUUGAUUUUGUUAUCAAACGCUGUCCACGGUACACAAUAGACAGAACGAACGAUUGGAUCUUUGAGUCUCCCCUUUCACUGCUUUACACCUCUCCCUUUCCACAGCUCUACGCCUUCCUCUCCUGCUUUACGACUUCAUCUCGAGCAAUCACCUCAUUUCUGCAAGUCCAUAGCGUCUUCCGCACUUCCUCCCAAUUUCGAAUAUGUGGAAUCACGUUGUUGAGGAAGAGGAACCAGACGAUGAUGCAUCUUCUAAAGUAUCACAUGGAUUUGAUGAGAAGAGUAGUGUGCAAGACAUGAGACUAGUUAUUUAGCGAGUUGUCAUAGUUAUUUUUGUUUUAUGGCUUACAACAAUUGAAUAUUUUAAACAAUUUGUAUUUUGUAGUUUUAGUUGAUACAUUUUACAGUAAUAAUAUUUUGUUAUAUAUAUGAAUGUAUUGAAAAAAUUGAUUUUGCUAUAGUAUUAUGGAUUGUAUUA